CGAUUUCCGAAUGGGGAAACCCAGUGUGUUUCGACACACUAUCAUUAACUGAAUCCAUAGGUUAAUGAGGCGAACCGGGGGAACUGAAACAUCUAAGUACCCCGAGGAAAAGAAAUCAACCGAGAUUCCCCCAGUAGCGGCGAGCGAACGGGGAGCAGCCCAGAGCCUGAAUCAGUGUGUGUGUUAGUGGAAGCGUCUGGAAAG
rnacentral:rRNA from 1 species